UGAAGCGUUUCUCAGCACUAAUGCACCGGAUCCCAUCAGAACUACACAGUUAAGCGUUAUUGGGCAAGAGUAGUACUAGGAUGGGCGAUCUCUUGGGAAGUCCUCAUGUUGCACCUA
rnacentral:rRNA from 2 species